GAAACCGGGUGAUCUAGCCAUGAGCAGGUUGAAGUUGAGGUGAAACUCAAUGGAGGACCGAACCGACUACCGUUGAAAAGUUAGCGGAUGACUUGUGGCUAGGGGAGAAAUUCCAAUCGAACCCGGAGAUAGCUGGUUCUCCCCGAAAUAGCUUUAGGGCUAGCGUCGGAAAGAACCUUAGUGAAGGUAGAGCACUGAAUGUGUGAUGGCCCCAUCCCGGGGUACUGAAUACAAUCAAACUGCGAAUGUCAUUAAGGAUGUCCGGCAGUCAGACUGUGAGUGAUAAGGUCCAUGGUCAAGAGGGAAACAGCCCAGACCGCCAGUUAAGGUCCCAAAAUACAGGCUAAGUGGAAAAGGAUGUGGGGAUGCCCAGACAACUAGGAGGUUGGCUCAGAAGCAGCCAUCCUUCAAAGAGUGCGUAACAGCUCACUAGUCGAGUGACCCUGCGCCGAAAAUGUACCGGGGCUAAGCCUGAUACCGAAACUGCGGAUUGUAGGAAACUAUAGUGGUAGGGGAGCGUUGUAUACGAGUAGAAGCCGUACCGUGAGGAGCGGUGGAUUGUAUAGAAGUGAGAAUGCCGGUGUGAGUAGCGAGAUGUAGGUGAGAAUCCUACACACCGAAAGCCCAAGGAUUCCAGGGGAAGGUUCGUCCGCCCUGGGUAAGUCGGGACCUAACGCGAGGCCGAAAGGCGUAGUGGAUGGAAAGCAGGCGAAAGAUUCCUGCACCCGUAUAUGGAGCGAAGGAGUGACGGAGACGGAUAGUGUGACCCUCUUAAUGGAUUGAGGGCGAAGCGAAGCGGCUGGUUACCAGGCAAAUCCGGUAACCAUAAGGCUAGAGCGUGAGAGGUAAGCGAAAUCUUAGGAAAGUAGCGAAGCACAUGAUGACGGCUUCCAGGAAAAGCUUCUGGCAAUGCAUAUGCGGCCCGUACCAAAACCGACACAGGUGGGCAGGGAGAGAAUCCCGAGGUGAGCGAGAGAACUGUUGCCAAGGAACUCGGCAAAAUGACUCCGUAAGUUAGCGAGAAGGAGUGCUUAAGCAAUUAAGCCGCAGUGAAGAGGCCCAAGCGACUGUUUAACUAAAACACAGCUCUCUGCGAAGUCGCAAGACGAAGUAUAGGGGGUGACACCUGCCCGGUGCUGGAAGGUUAAGAGGAUCUGUUAAGAGUGAUCUGAAGCAGUGAUCCGAAGCCCCAGUGAACGGCGGCCGUAACUAUAACGGUCCUAAGGUAGCGAAAUUCCUUGUCAGGUAAGUUCUGACCCGCACGAAAGGUGUAACGAUUUGGGCGCUGUCUCGGCAGCAGACUCGGUGAAAUCUUAGUACCUGUGAAAAUGCAGGUUACCCGCAACUAGACGGAAAGACCCCAUGGAGCUUUACUGCAGCCUGAUAUUGAAUUCUGGUCAUACAUGUACAGGAUAGGUGGGAGACAAAGAGACGUGCACGCCAGUGUACGAGGAGUCGACGUUGGGAUACCACUCUUGUGUGACCGGGGUUCUAACCUGGUAUCGAGAACAGGUACGGGGAGAGUGUCAGGUGGGCAGUUUGACUGGGGCGGUCGCCUCCCAAAGAGUAACGGAGGCGCCCAAAGGUACGCUCAGAUUGGAUGGAAACCAAUCGACGAGUGCAAUUGCAGAAGCGUGCUUGACUGUGAGACUUACAAGUCGAACAGGGACGAAAGUCGGGAAUAGUGAUCCGGCGGUGCCGAAUGGAAGGGCCGUCGCUCAACGGAUAAAAGC
rnacentral:rRNA from 1 species